CCACCCCUUUCCCCAAGGCCCACCCCCGCCUGCCUCUUGCUGCCCCCACUCCAUUCCCUCCCCACAAGGACCACCCCGCUCUGCCCUUGCUCCGCCUCUUCCUGCCCCCGUGCUACCCGCUUCCCCCAGCACCUCCCCACCGCUGCUGAACAGUUGAUGGCCGGGUGGCUGGUGGGUGCUGAGCACCCACUAUUUUUUUCCAUGGGGGCUCCAGGGCUCGGGCUCCAGGGCUGUAGACCAGCUACCUGAAGCUCCAUCCCUACAUUCAGGAAACAUUUAUGUUUUAGUUCAAGCCUUCUCUGCAGAUGCAGCUGUUGGGACUGCAGUAUGACAAGAAUCUAUAACAACUGUAUCCUCACCACCUGCUCCUGUUUAAUUACUGCUUAUCAAUCACCCACAUGUGGAAUACACAUAGGGACCAGUGCUCAAAGAAGAAAUGGAGGUUGCUGACCUGUAAUUGGAGGUUCUUUUGAGAUGUGUGGUCCCUAUCUAUAUUCCACUACUCGCCUUCCAUCCCCUCAGCUUUGAAUUCUUCUGAUUUGCGGUAAGAGAGGAACUGGAGAGUCUGCACUGCCCUUAUGCCCUCAGUUCAGCGCUCAAGGAGAACAGCUGCACAGGCGUGGACCAAUGGACACUACUUGCUAGAAAUCUCUGGAUCUCAGCCACAUGAUGCAUGUGGGUAUUCACAUGUGGCAUACAGAUAGAGACCACACAUCUCAAUCAGUGUUCCCUCUAAUUUUUUCCAUCCAUGUACGGAAUAAAUUUUGUUAUAUGCACUGAGGGAUGUGUGCCACCAGUAAAAACAAAAAACCUAGAUAUAAUAUAUAUAUUUUUUAAAGUUACCAUAGGGAUAAUUACUCCAGCCAGGACAGGUUAGGGAUUUUAGAACUCACUACUCAAAGAAUUAAAUUUAAGUGUAAGAGAAAUAAAAAUUAUGAAAUGCAUUGACGAGUCAAAACACUAAAAUAACUCACCUUGAAAGAAUAGAAUUACAGAGAAUAUAUGGCAAAGAGUCCUGUGGCAACUUAUAGACUGACAGAUGUAUUGGCGCUGAAGCUUUCAUGGGUGAAUAUCCACUUCGUCAGAUGCAUGAGAAUGUGCAUUGCAGGAAAUACCAAGAAGUAACAACAACAAUAAUACAAGUAUGUGUUGGGAGCAGCAGCCAAAGGCUUCAAUCAAGAGCAGGACCCCAUUGUGCUGGGCGCUGUACCAACACACAGAUUCUCCCUGCUCCAAAGACAAAGAAGACAGAUAAAGUGUGGAAGGGGAAAGAGGUGCAGAGAGGGGAAGGAACUUGCCCAGGGUUGCGCAGCAAGUCAGUGGCUGAGUUUGGAAUAGAACAGUGAGCAGUGUCCCCCGCUUUAUGCAGUCUUUUUGGAAGAAAAGCUGAUCAAUCCAACUCCCCAUCUUGUCCUUGUAUGUAACCUCUGGAGGUGGUGUUUCUAUGUGACUAUCCUAUCUAUCACAUCAUCUGGUAUGACACCCUCAUGCAAGAAGGAUACAUGUGCCCUGAUUAAAGUCCCUUGGUUGGUCAGUCUUUAGCAUUGUAACAUUUUCCAGCAAGGGCUUAGGGUCGUUGGACAUGUUGGUUUAGCUAAUUUUCCCUCUGAAAGAUUGCCUUGAGGUCUACACUUGCCCAGCAGAGCUCAAGGUUUUCCCAUCCCUAAACAAUUCAGAGUCCUAAGCUCUUAACAUUGACACGGUAGACAACCUUUGAAUUGACAGUUUCAGGAAUGUGUAUGCAGACAGCGAGUCACACUUCUGCCUCUGUGCUAACAUACAUAAAAAAUAUGGUAUCUGGAGACAGAACAAGAGCUGAAAUAAAAAAACAAAUGUAACUCA